CAAGCCACUCUCCACCUGGUGGAGACCAGAGGAACUAGAACCCCUGCCCCUCUGUUGGUGUCCAUAAGUAAUCAUCUGGGUGAAGCCUCCUGCUAUCCCCCCCUGCCAUGGCCACCUGGCUCCUCUGCUGUGUGACCCUUGGCCUCAUGUUAGUAGAGCAUGCAGAUGCUGGAGUUGCCCAGGCACCCAGACACAAGGUGACAAAGAUGGGACAAGCAGUAACACUGAACUGUGAGCCAAUUUCAGGCCACAAUGACCUUUACUGGUACAGACAGACUUCACUGCAGGAACUGAAGUUCCUGAUUUAUUUCAGUAAUAGAGCUCCAAUAGACAACAGCGGGAUGCCCAAGGACCGAUACUCAGCUAAGAUGCCUAAUGGAUCAUUCUCCACUUUGAAGAUCCAGCCCACAGAACCCGGGGACUCAGCCGUGUACCUCUGUGCCAGCAGCUUAGCCACAGCACUGCAGAGUCAUGCCCUUCCUGUGCAGAAACCCUUCUGGUUCCCUUUCUCACCCCAGCCUUCAGUCGUUCAGAGUGGGCCCUGA